ensembl:snRNA U6 U6 spliceosomal RNA
GUGCUCACUUUGGCAACACACAGACAAAAAUUAGAAUGACACAGAGAAGAUUAGCAUGGUCCCUGUGCAAGGAUGACACUCAAAUUCAUGAAGCGUUCCACAUAUGG